GUAUAUUAGUUAAAAUAUUUAAGGAACAAUAUGAUUUAUUCGUCGCGCGAACUUGUCAUACAGAGAAGCCAGCGAUGACGUGCGAACGAUAGGAGCAUUCAACUCACGAUAAGAUAACGUUCGUGAUUAAUCAUCGUCGACUAAUCUGUGACCUUCUUCGAAGACACAGCUUUGAUGCACAGUAUGGCGUGCUGUAUACAUUUCCUUCGAGAACUAUUAUUGGCGACGUAACAAUACAUGCAUAAUAUUUUCUACUUGAGAUGCAACGAGACGAUUAAAGCGCGAAAAAUAAAUGGGGGUUACUCUUGUGAAAGAUGCAGAAGACGUCGAAGGAGGGCAGAGUGCAUACGUAACGCAAUACGUGACAACGUAUUUCGUGGGGUUAUUAGUCCGAUUAGACGAGGAUAGAUGGUGACGGAAAACGCGUAGAGAGACACAAUGUCGUCGGCCCUUUCGAUGGCUCCACGCAUGCGUAUCAUGGACGCACACACACACACACACACACAAAAGUCCACACGAUAUACAGACACACACAACGCAUACGCAUGCGUUAUAUGUGUGUCGUGUGUGUGUGUUUCAAGGGAGAAUCGACCGAGAAGCAAAGCGUGUCCGUGGUACAUCGAGCCAGCCACGAUAUCGGACAAUCUGUUUAGAAAACAAUGGAAACGCACGCCGCGCUGCGAGUGGAUGAAUAUUCAAGGAUUAAGUAACGAUUGGGUAAGCCAGAAAUCCGGAUUAUUACCUACUCGCGAUUCUUCCCUGUGGGCCCGCGAUGGGAUGCAAAUUUAAUUGAUACACGAGACGACUAAUAGAGUUCAUUCUAUCGCCGGAAGAUCAAAGAGCGAGCGAGCGAGCGGUUGCGACAAAUGUUCCAACAUGAGCUUUUGAUUCUUGAUCUUUAGAUGUUAGUGAUAAAUUACUUUGUAUUCAAUCAUUUGCACAACGAAUUAUGGAAUAGAUGUGCGAAAAUUACUAUAUAAAAAGAAUAUACGACUUUUAAGAAACGUAGAU